rnacentral:rRNA from 1 species
AGCAGCCGCGGUAAUUCCAGCUCCAAUAGCGUAUAUUAAAGUUGUUGCAGUUAAAAAGCUCGUAGUUGAAUUUCGGGGUUAGUAGGUCGGUCAUGCCUCAGGUAUGCACUGGUCUCACUGAUUCCUCCUUCCUGAUGAACCGUAAUGCCAUUAAUUUGGUGUUGCGGGGAAUCUGGACUGUUACUUUGAAAAAAUUGAGUGUUUAAAGCAGGCUAACGCUUGAAUACACUAGCAUGGAAUAAUGGAAUAGGACGUUCGAUCCUAUUUUGUUGGUUUCUAGGAUUGACGUAAUGAUUAAUAGGGAUAGUUGGGGGCAUUAGUAUUCAAUUGUCAGAGGUGAAAUUCUUGGAUUUUAUUGAAGACUAACUACUGCGAAAAGCAUUUGCCAAGGAUGUUUUCAUUAAUCAAGAACGAAAGUUAGGGGAUCGAAGACGAUCAGAUACCGUCGUAGUCUUAACCAUAAACUAUGCCGACUAGGGAUCGGGAUGAUGUUAAUUUUUUAAUGUACUUCAUUCGGCGU